rnacentral:rRNA from 1 species
CAGCAGCCACGGUAAUACGAAGGGUGCAAGCGUUAAUCAGAAUUACUGGGCGUAAAGCGUGCGUAGGCGGUUUGUUAGGUCUGCUGUGAAAUCCCCGGGCUCAACCUGGGAAUGGCAGUAGAUACUGGCAAGCUAGAGUGUGUCAGAGGAUGGUGGAAUUCCCGGUGUAGCGGUGAAAUGCGUAGAGAUCGGGAGGAACAUCAGUGGCGAAGGCGGCCAUCUGGGACAACACUGACGCUGAGGCACGAAAGCGUGGGGAGCAAACAGGAUUAGAUACCCGCGUAGUCCCUGUCUCUUAUAC